UGACUUGUAGUUCAGUCGGUAAAGAAUCUGCCUGCAAUGCAGGAGACCCGGGUUCAAUUCCUGGGUCAU
rnacentral:tRNA from 1 species